GAGAAAUCAACAAAUUACAAUCACUCCAAUACUUGUCAAAUUUAGAUUUCAUCUUAUCAACCAAGGCUUUCAUAUAAAUAUCCCUUCAACAAAUAUUACACUUGAAUAAGCUUACUGGUUAACUGCAGAGGUGUGGGCAUGCGGCGGGACCGCGGGGCGUGGCUACAAACGACAGUCACCGGUGUCUCAUGAGCGCGAGAUGCAACAGAAUGGCAGGGCGUGGCUGCAAACGACCGUCGUCGGUGGCUGAGGAGCACGAGAUGCAAAGCGAGAUGCGGCAGAAUGGUGGGGCGUGGCUCACAAGCGGUCGUUGAAAUGCACGAUGCGGCGGUGGAGCUGUGAUUUCAGGUUGUUGACGGCGACGGGCCUCCAGCGAUGUCGACAGGUCUGUAGGAGGCAAUGGUGAAUGGCGAUGCGGCAGCAGCAGAGGGUGAUUCGGCAAUUGGGUGAUUUGGGAAUUAGGUUAUUAUUA
rnacentral:lncRNA from 1 species